rnacentral:rRNA from 1 species
ACGCUCGACACCUACGGGAGGCAGCAGUGGGGAAUAUUGCACAAUGGGGGAAACCCUGAUGCAGCGACGCCGCGUGGAGGAAGAAGGUCUUCGGAUUGUAAACUCCUGUUGUUGGGGAAAAAGAGGAUGGUACCCAACAAGGAAGUGACGGCUAACUACGUCCCAGCAGCCGCGGUAAUCUGAGCGGGCUGGCAAGGC